UCUCUCUGAAUCUGCGAACGGCUCCGCAAAACAGUUGUAAACUAUAGCAAGCACGCUUAUCAGGCCGCAAGGCUUGGUGGGCUAUAUGGAUAACCCUGGUAAUUCUGAGGCUAAUACAAGAACGUAACCCCUGUCUGACUGGGUAACUGGAAGGGCGGGGAGCGUGCAACACGGCGCAAAAGAGACUGGGAAUCGGUGCACGCUCAGACCACCAUACAAACGGUUGACCUGGGCUUCGGCUCGGGGCUUCUGGGUGGCUCUUGCAAUGUGCUUCUGACCUAUCAACUAGAUGGCAGCGUAAGGGACAUGCUAUGGUUACAACGGGUACAGAGGAUAAGGGUUCGAUCCUGGAGAGUGGGCCUGAGAGAUU
rnacentral:rRNA from 1 species